AACUGCAUUUUGUCAAUGGUAAGCUUAUCAACAUUUGCCCAGGGCACUGUGGGUUAGUGCAGACUAUGUUUUUGUUUGUUUAAGCUAUCAUUUCCAA